AGGACUACUCCUUUCUGUCAAGAUCGAUAGAUCCCAUCUUGAUGUGCAUCCUACUCCUACAGUGGACUAACUAUCACCAAUAUCUACUAUAAAGGCUCAUUGAGAUUAUAUUUAUGUAUCAGUCAAACUCCAGUAGUCUUACUACGAGCAAUCAUACCAUCAUAGAUCAAAAGAUCAUUCACACAACUACAGCUUCAAGACAAUCACUGACGAUCGAGUAAAAAUCUAAGUGAUCUCUCGUAUGAUUAUGCUCAGUACUAGUUAUUCUCUAACAACUAUCCAUACUCGUUACUCAGUGUCUCUACACUGUAGACUAGAGAUUUAUCUAUCUUGAAAGAAGCGAUCUGUGUGCUAAUCUAUCUAGAUCGAUCACCAUCCUCAUGAUGAUCUAUGAUCAGAAGUAUUUAGAAAUUAAAUACAUAUCUCUAAUUCUCAAUAGUUUGAGAAUAUGUAUCAAAAUAUUAAUUCCAUGGAUGAUUCAAGGACACAUCACAUUUGAAUGAAAAAAUAAAUUUGCUCUUUUAUUGACCUAUGGCUUCUAGGACA
rnacentral:lncRNA from 1 species